AACAUGUGUUAUAUUGUUGUUGACACAUCAGCACACGAGAGGUUGCCACCUAAAUUUCAUAAAAUAAGUAAUACAUCACUCUUUCUAAAUUUUUUUAAUUCAAUAUAUCCUCUUUAAUUUUGAGAUCCAUUAAGUAGCUAAAGUGAUCAUAAAAUCCAAACAUGCUACACAUAUUCAUUGCCUAAAAAUUAGACGAUUAUCAUGAAAGAAACUAAAUGAAUAUGCAGAUUAAAUAUAUCUAAGCUUUUCAAGAUUUAUUCUAAGAAAACAAGUAAUUUGAAAGAUGUUUGAGGAGUUAUCCUUAUAAUUAAUACGUAAGAUAUAAGAUUAUAACAGGAACUUAACUAAACUUUCCAAGAACAUCAAGUUGAAUAUGAUUAGAUUGAAUAUGCAGAGACAUGGUUAAUAAAGUCAUGUUAUAUUUUUAGUUUAAGAAAUAUAUUUUCUAAAAUUUCACCGUCUCACAAUCUAAACAUAUAACCAAAAAAACAGGAAUAUAUAAAUUAAAAAAAAACUGAGAAUCUAGAAUAACAAUAAAAAACAACUCAAGCACAUUCGUUUUUCAGAUGAACUAAUAUAGUUGGACUUUUCAAAAACAAUUACAAAUCAUAUUUAUGUUUUAAAACAGAUGCAUUCAACUUUACUUUAUAUGAACAGAGAUUAUAUAAAAUAAUUUGUAAAUAGUAAUACAUAAACCCGCACGUAGUGCGGGUACUCAUCUAGUUACAUCUAAAAAUGCUUCAUAUAUCAUCGAAAAACUGAAUUAUCAUAUCUAAAAACUUAAUCCUUGGAUAAUAUUGAAACAACCCGACCCAUUUAAAAAAA
rnacentral:sRNA from 1 species